GCAUCUGUAUCUUUCCCACUCCUUGCAAUAGUCCUGGACUGGGGACACAUGAUGCAACAGGAAGGCACAGGAAAUCCAGACGAGCUCCCUUUCACCACAGUGGGAGUUGUCUCUACGCCUUUGCAACAUUU
rnacentral:snoRNA from 1 species